rnacentral:lncRNA from 1 species
GUUUAGAUAAUAUCUGAAAAUAAAUAAUAUAUCACAGCAAUUUGUCUGCUUUUUUAUGUAUUGUUUCUGAAUGAAUGUUUAAAAUACUGUAAUUUGUGUAUAUUUGUCUAAACCAGAACCCACAAUCUGACACUUGGUUGCCAUGGCAACCAAAGUGUCCUAGCAACAAAAAUGAAUAUUUUUUCAUCAAUCUUGAUUGAAGGCAAGAUAACAUACCAAAUUUGAUGAUAAUCUGUUGAC